rnacentral:rRNA from 1 species
CUGGAUUCAGCGGCGGACGGGUGAGUAAUGCCUAGGAAUCUGCCUGGUAGUGGGGGAUAACGUCCGGAAACGGGCGCUAAUACCGCAUACGUCCUGAGGGAGAAAGUGGGGGAUCUUCGGACCUCACGCUAUCAGAUGAGCCUAGGUCGGAUUAGCUAGUUGGUGGGGUAAAGGCCUACCAAGGCGACGAUCCGUAACUGGUCUGAGAGGAUGAUCAGUCACACUGGAACUGAGACACGGUCCAGACUCCUACGGGAGGCAGCAGUGGGGAAUAUUGGACAAUGGGCGAAAGCCUGAUCCAGCCAUGCCGCGUGUGUGAAGAAGGUCUUCGGAUUGUAAAGCACUUUAAGUUGGGAGGAAGGGCAGUAAGUUAAUACCUUGCUGUUUUGACGUUACCAACAGAAUAAGCACCGGCUAACUUCGUGCCAGCAGCCGCGGUAAUACGAAGGGUGCAAGCGUUAAUCGGAAUUACUGGGCGUAAAGCGCGCGUAGGUGGUUCAGCAAGUUGGAUGUGAAAUCCCCGGGCUCAACCUGGGAACUGCAUCCAAA